rnacentral:rRNA from 1 species
AUUGAACGCCGGCGGAAUGCUUUACACAUGCAAGUCGAACGGCAGCACGGACUUCGGUCUGGUGGCGAGUGGCGAACGGGUGAGUAAUGUAUCGGAACGUGCCCAGUCGUGGGGGAUAACGUAGUGAAAAUUACGCUAAUACCGCAUACGAUCUAUGGAUGAAAGCGGGGGAUCGCAAGACCUCGCGCGAUUGGAGCGGCCGAUAUCAGAUUAGGUAGUUGGUGGGGUAAAGGCCCACCAAGCCAACGAUCUGUAGCUGGUCUGAGAGGACGACCAGCCACACUGGAACUGAGACACGGUCCAGACUCCUACGGGAGGCAGCAGUGGGGAAUUUUGGACAAUGGGCGAAAGCCUGAUCCGGCCAUUCCGCGUGCAGGAUGAAGGCCCUCGGGUUGUAAACUGCUUUUGUACAGAACGAAAAGGUUUCUACUAAUACUAGGAGCUCAUGACGGUACUGUAAGAAUAAGCACCGGCUAACUACGUGCCAGCAGCCGCAGUAA